rnacentral:lncRNA from 1 species
CCUGAAAAUAUCUGAGACAAGCCUCGAUCAACUUAGAAGUUUACUUUGCCAAGAUUAAGGACACGUCUUGGGAGACAGGCCACUGCCUUCAGAGAAGGUGACAGAGGGCCAUGUCUGAAACAUUCUCCCACAACCAGGAACCCUCAGCAGCCGCUGAAGAGGAAAGGCAGUUAAAUGGAAAGACUUCUGAGCAAGUGGAGGAAAAGUCACGUGUGACCUAGGGAGGGGCUCCCACAGGAAGGGGCAAUGCCCUUGCCCUGUUCACCUAGCCUCCAGGUGGCUUCCCACUUGAAAUUUCAGAGGAUGGCAGAAACCUACUUACAAGGAAAUGAAAGAGGGCACAGCAACCUUAAGACCAGAGCAGCCCACGAUAUUUUUUAAUGAGGGCAAAAAUAGAAGACUUGCAAAAGACCCCUGAAAAUAAUGCCUGGAAGCUGCGAAACAUCAGACUGACACCGCACAAAAGAGGUCCAGCUGAGCAGGAGAAAAGCUUGAGAAGCAUCCAGAACAAUGUAGGUGGAGAGGCUAAGAAGAAAGAGGAGCCCACAUGGAAUGAAUAACCAAGGUCGGGACAGAGGAAGGUUCGCCAGAACUGGGAGGGCUGAAAUUGG